UACGUAGGGUCCAAGCGUUAAUCGGAAUUACUGGGCGUAAAGCGUGCGCAGGCGGUUCGUUAAGUCAGCUGUGAAAGCCCCGGGCUCAACCUGGGAAUUGCGGUUGAAACUGGCGAACUAGAAUCUGGCAGAGGGGGGUGGAAUUCCACGUGUAGCAGUGAAAUGCGUAGAGAUGUGGAGGAACACCGAUGGCGAAGGCAGCCCCCUGGGCUGAGAUUGACGCUCAGGUACGAAAGCGUGGGGAGCAAACAGG
rnacentral:rRNA from 1 species